AUCCUCUCAGAGUCGCACCUGGAGAGUUUCCAACACUCUACCAGUCUCGACUAAGGGAGGGAGAGUCAAGCAGAGGCCUGCCCAUUCCAUUCCUAGCUUGCGCAGUGGCUAGUGAGUGGCAGGCCAUCUGCCACACGU